rnacentral:rRNA from 1 species
AGUGAACGCUGGCGGUAGGCCUAACACAUGCAAGUCGAACGGCAGCACAGUAAGAGCUUGCUCUUACGGGUGGCGAGUGGCGGACGGGUGAGGAAUACAUCGGAAUCUACUUUUUCGUGGGGAAUAACGUAGGGAAACUUACGCUAAUACCGCAUACGACCUACGGGUGAAAGCAGGGGAUCUUCGGACCUUGCGCGAUUGAAUGAGCCGAUGUCGGAUUAGCUAGUUGGCGGGGUAAAGGCCCACCAAGGCGACGAUCCGUAGCUGGUCUGAGAGGAUGAUCAGCCACACUGGAACUGAGACACGGUCAAGACUCCUACGGGAGGCAGCAGUGGGGAAUAUUGGACAAUGGGCGCAAGCCUGAUCCAGCCAUACCGCGUGGGUGAAGAAGGCCUUCGGGUUGUAAAGCCCUUUUGUUGGGAAAGAAAAGCAGCAGGUUAAUACCCCGCUGUUCUGACGGUACCCAAAGAAUAAGCACCGGCUAACUUCGUG